rnacentral:rRNA from 1 species
GAUCAUGGCUCAGGACGAACGCUGGCGGCGUGCCUAAUACAUGCAAGUAGAACGCUGAAGGAGGAGCUUGCUUCUCUGGAUGAGUUGCGAACGGGUGAGUAACGCGUAGGUAACCUGCCUGGUAGCGGGGGAUAACUAUUGGAAACGAUAGCUAAUACCGCAUAACAGUAGAUAUCGCAUGAUAGCUGCUUGAAAGGUGCAAUUGCAUCACUACCAGAUGG